rnacentral:rRNA from 1 species
GACGAAGGGGGCUAGCGUUGUUCGGAAUUACUGGGCGUAAAGCGCGUGUAGGCGGUUGUCCAAGUUGGAUGUGAAAGCCUUGAGCUUAACUCAAGAAAUGUAUUCAGGACUGGAUGACUAGAGGACCGGAGAGGAUAGUGGAAUUCCCAGUGUAGUGGUGAAGUACGUAGAGAUUGGGAAGAACACCAGUGGCGAAGGCGGCUAUCUGGACGGUUUCUGACGCUAAGACGCGAAAGCGUGGGGAGCAAACAGG